UACGUAGGGUGCAAGCGUUAAUCGGAAUUACUGGGCGUAAAGCGUGCGCAGGCGGUUUUGUAAGUCAGAUGUGAAAUCCCCGGGCUUAACCUGGGAAUUGCGUUUGAAACUACAGGGCUAGAGUGUAGCAGAGGGGGGUGGAAUUCCAUGUGUAGCAGUGAAAUGCGUAGAGAUAUGGAAGAACAUCGAUGGCGAAGGCAGCCCCCUGGGUUAACACUGACGCUCAGGCACGAAAGCGUGGGGAGCAAACAGG
rnacentral:rRNA from 1 species